CCCUAAUCUUCCCGUAUCUCUCUGCCCUCUCUCCCUUAUCUCUUUCUCUGCCGAUCUGAGCGGAGGCGGCGGUGGCUCCCAUCCUCUUCCUCCACUCCUCUCCCUCAGAUUGAGCUCCGCCCCGGAGGAAAGGGUACGCGGCCGUCGAUCUGUGCGCGUCUAGCCAUGGAGGGCUCGCCCCUCUCGCGCGCCUCGUCCGCACGGAGCGCUAGCAGCCCACACGGCGUAGAUCCACUAUCCCUGCGUCCGCCCCACACCGGCCGCCGGUGACUGCCGCACUAUUCCAUUCCUCCCCAAGCCCGCCGCACGCGACGGCCCAUGCUGCCAUGCCGUUUUUCUGCAGCCAGACCGCCGCCCCUACGCUCGCGCUCCGGGCAGAUGCUCGUUCUUCUUGGUGGUGACUACGCGUUCCUCCCGGUGGUGGCGCUCUACCCUUUGUGUUGCCUUUCUCCAAGCAGUUGUGCCCUUCGACCCCUACCUGUAAUCAAUUGAUCCGGCAACAGAGAGUUGAAGCUGCAAACAAGCGUGAUGAGGAAAAAGCCGAAUUUAUGACUGACAGAUUACAUGCUGGUUUCUUACUGCUUGGGUUUCGACAUUUGACAAUUGAACAAAUCAUAUACUGCAGAUUAUUAUAAUAGAAGCUUAGUUCACCUAGUGUUGGAUAAAAGUUGGACAGAUGCACAUAGGUAAGUCUUAUCCAUAUAAUGCUUUUACAAUCUGCCAGUGGAACUUUAAAUGAUACGAUUUACCAAUUUCAAUGAUGUAUAAUAGCAGAUUAAGUAAAAGCAGUGUUAGAUAUGAAAUGAACUUAAUUCAACCAUUCUCUAGAAGAAAGUACCUAUUUGUCAUAAUGGCGAUGUUAUCUUGUAGAACAGCAAUAGGGAUUUGUUAACAUUCGACCUUUAUGCUGUACUUUUUCCAUUUUGAUUCGCCCACUGUUAAUAUCCUCUUCUUCAACUGACACAUUCUUGCAAGCUAUCACAAUUGAUGAAAUAUAAUUACGAGCACUUAGCUUUUUUGAAUUUUAUAUGCAUACCAGAAGAUUUACUCGUUACAAACAUUAAACAGACGGACCUCUUUUUCAACAAGUUGUUUCAAAUCCCACUGAGACAAAAUAAAAGUGUGCUACUGCUAAUUACUAUACGAGAACAGAAUGUAUGGUUCUAUAUUGGAAUUUUUAGCUGUUGUGGUGUUCCUAAUAACUUAAAACUGCUGUGAAGAUGAACUGAACCAUAGUACUCUCGAAUUAGAGAGCAAGAAAUUUCGAGUUAGUCUACUGUAGGGUAAUAAAGUUCUUAUAUAUGCUGCAAAUCAGUUGCCUUGUGGUGUAAUCACUGAUGUCAUGUUUCCAUAAGUGGGCUGCUGUAAUGACCUUAAUAGUGCAAAGCUAUGUUUUAUAUAAAUUUGCCUAUUCUUUCCAGAGUGCAGGGAAAUGUAUGAGGUGAAUCAAUUUUCCUAUUCUGUUGUUGCUGCUAUAUUCAGGUGUAUGUGGGUUUAAGAUUGGCCACUAAUUGUUGAACCAGGAGCUUUCCCUCGUUAGGAAUAUAAGCUGAAACUUUCCCAUUGCCUUGAUUCUUUGUAGGAAAGACAUACAAGAUGACCAGGAACCAUGAAGCUUGCAGUUUGCGUUAACUGUGUAAUGGAGCGGACUAUGAAUCACUGGACAUGUGUCUAUUAGCUAUCAUAUAUGGUGUCUCGGUCAAGUGGAUAUUCUGUGUAAUGGAAGACGCAUGAUUUGUAGGACAUAUAUCUAUUGGCUAUCAUUUUGUAAACCUAUCCGGUCUCUCGGUCACUGAACCAUAAAUGUUUCCUCUUAAUUGGCUACCUCAUCCGUUUCUGAGAA